rnacentral:rRNA from 1 species
UGGGGAAUAUUGCACAAUGGGCGCAAGCCUGAUGCAGCCAUGCCGCGUGUGUGAAGAAGGCCUUCGGGUUGUAAAGCACUUUCAGCGAGGAGGAAGGUGGUGAGCUUAAUACGCUCAUCAAUUGACGUUACUCGCAGAAGAAGCACCGGCUAACUCCGUGCCAGCAGCCGCGGUAAUACGGAGGGUGCAAGCGUUAAUCGGAAUUACUGGGCGUAAAGCGCACGCAGGCGGUUUGUUAAGUCAGAUGUGAAAUCCCCGGGCUCAACCUGGGAACUGCAUUUGAAACUGGCAAGCUAGAGUCUCGUAGAGGGGGGUAGAAUUCCAGGUGUAGCGGUGAAAUGCGUAGAGAUCUGGAGGAAUACCGGUGGCGAAGGCGGCCCCCUGGACGAAGACUGACGCUCAGGUGCGAAGGCGUGGGGAGCAAACAGAUUAGAUACCCUGGUAGUCCACGCUGUAAACGAUGUCGAUUUUGGAGGUUGUGCCCUUGAGGCGUGGCUUCCGGAGCUAACGCGUUAAAUCGA